AUUGAACACUGGCGGCAGGCUUAACACAUGCAAGUCGAGCGAGCGGCGGACUGGUGAGUAAUGUCUGGGAAACUGCCUGAUGGAGGGGGAUAACUACUGGAAACGGUAGCUAAUACAGCAUACCAUCAGAUGUGCCCAGAUGGGAUUAGCUAGUAGGUGGGGUAAUGGCUCACCUGGGCGACGAUCCCUAGCUGGUCUGAAAGGAUGAACAGCCACCCUGGAACUGCGACACGGUCCUGCUUCCUACGGGAGGCAGCAGUGGGGAAUAUUGCACAAUGGGCGCAAGCCUGAGGCAGCCAUGCCGCGUGUGUGAAGAAGGCCUUCGGGUUGUAAAGCACUUUCAGCGAGGAGGCGUUACUCGCAGAAGAAGCACCGGCUAACUCCGUGCCAGCAGCCGCGGUAAUUC
rnacentral:rRNA from 1 species